GGAGUUGGACGGACCGUCGCCGCGCCCCUCCAAGGGGCGGGGAGGAAAGUCCGGGCUCCACAGGGCAGAGCGCUGGGUAACUCCCAGGAGGAGCGAUCCUCGGCAAGCGCAACAGAAAGCAAACCGCCACGCAGCCCUUCGGGGUUGCGGGGUAAGGGUGAAACGGUGGGGUAAGAGCCCACCAGCGGGCGUGGCGACACGCUCGGCUAGGCAUGCCCCGCUCGGAGCAAGACCAAAUAGGAAGGUAGGCUGGCCCGGCUAUUGCCUUCGGGUAGGUUGCUUGAGGUGGUCGGUAACGGCCAUCCUAGAGGAAUGACGGUCGCCCGCCCUGCAAGGGGGGGGACACAAAACCCGGCUUACAGUCCGGCUCCGGCA
rnacentral:RNase_P_RNA from 1 species